rnacentral:lncRNA from 1 species
GAAAAUUUUAGUAAAUUAUAGUCAAUUUUUAUGCAAUGAAACUAUAUAGCUCUUUUUGUUAGAAAUUGUCUUACUAACUAAGCUGCUGGUGGUUCUGUGACGAAGUAGCUCCUGUUGGCUUCCCUUACACCGGGUCAGACACAGGACAUUAAUUAAGGCUGUGUGUGGUGUUUCUGAAAGGUGAGGAGACUGGGCAUUCUGUCUUUUACUCUACAGAUACAUCGUGGGAGACUCAAAGAUUAAAAUGUGGCCACUCACUGUGGAUCAGAAGCAGAAUCUCACAUCAUAACCCCAAAUGACCUGUUACUCACCAUGUGGCCCAGCUGUCUUCAAACUCACCAGCCUCCUGCCUUAGCCUUCUAAAUGCUUGGAUUACAGGCAUGACCCACCAUAACUGGCUUUGUUUUAGUUUCAGAGAAGAUGAAACUGAUGUGCGUCAAAAAGCUGGUAGUCUGUCAAGGAAAUGAGCUGAACAUGUCUGUGUACAGCUUUUGUGCCAUCCCUGGAUGAGCGAGCUGUCUGCCUCUAUGUUCUCCACAAAAUGGAAUAUAGCUGUACACCCAAGCCAAGUUAUGGAGGCUGGGAAGACCUAGAAUGUGGCAUCACUAUUUGCUGAAAUUUUUAAUAUAAUGCCUCUUAGCCUGGUUUGGAGAAAACGUCACAGAGAGGCACCAUUUGUUGUGGUUUUACAUGAAAAUUUUCUGACCCUGAACCUGGUUUGAUGGAAAUCAUUUGCUGAGGUUAUUUAGAAAAUUGUUACCUCAAAAAUGACCUAGGGGUCCUUAGAAUAAUAACACACAGAAGAAUAGCCUCAUUUUUCUGUUGGGCCCAGGAAACCAUGCCGAUUACCGACCGAGCUCUCAAUGGAAAAAUGCAGUCGGCGUGAACCACGCACGAACACAGCAGAGAAAGAAGAAAACACACACCACGAGGAACCCUAAUAGGACAAUACAUUAUAAGCCUCAUGGUACAUCCACUUGGUGUGCUGGGAGAGUCAGGAUGAGGACCUGAGAAGAACAGCAGCUUGAACCUGACUUCAUUUAACAGCCCACUGCCCUCUUGCCAAGAACCCAUCACAGACCUUCCCAGAAGAGAGGGAUGAGCCUCACCUAUGAAUAAGUCCUCAGAAACUCAAAUUUGAUUCUAAUGGAUUGUUUUCUCAGAAAGACUGAGCAUGUCCCCCCACAUCUCUGUCAUUUCCCACAGUAGUAACCUCUGCAGAUGCCACAUAGAAAACAAAACAAAACAAAAAAACAUGAGGUUGGUGGGCAGAUAGGCAGGGUAUAAACAAACAGCCUUGUAACCCAGAAGCUGUGUGAUAUACAGUAAACUUCACAACACUGAAAAGAUGUCCUAUCUGUUAAAAUGGGGUAAUAACAACUACCCGAAUGUUUAGGAAUAGAACUUCAAUAAAUGAUACAUUUUAUAGUACAGCAGACCAUCCUGUAAAGGUUUCAUCCUUCACUGUGGUGAUAAAUAUCCCAAACCACAUUGAAAAGCAUUGCAUCUACAUUUAUCUACACUGUAACUGUACUGUAAAUCAUGGGGGAGGGGAGAAUCAUAAAAACACCACCUGUCACCGUGUCAUUAAAGCAAGUUGGAAGUGAUACUUACAGAAACACAGCAAGAGCACCCCCAGUCACACAGUUCAAUCUCUUAGCAAGCGUUUUCUUUCUAGCCCAGUGGUUCUCAGUUUGGAAUUUUUGGCACUGCCUAGAGAUAGUUUUGUUGUUAAAACUGAGAAAAGAGCCGGGCGUGGUGGCACACGCCUUUAAUCCCAGCACUCAGGAGGCAGAGGCAGG